rnacentral:sRNA from 1 species
GCUGGGCACGGUGGCUCAUGCCUGUAAUCCUAGCACAUUGGGAGGCUGAGGUGGGAGGAUUGCUUGAGCCCAGGAGUUUGAGACCAGCCUGGGCAACAUAGUGAGCCCCACCUCUU